GGGGAGGCUGCGAGCAACUUCAUACAAGAAGAUCUAAAGAUGGACUAUGUGUAUGAUUACAUGUUUCAUGUGCUAAAUGAAUAUGCAAAGCUCUUGAAAUUCAAACCAACUAUACCUCCCAAUGCAAUGGAACUGUGCUCAGAAAAAAUGGCAUGCCCUGCAACUGGUACAUGUAAGAAGUUCAUGGUAGAGUCUAUGGUGGGGUCUCCAAGUGAUGAACUCCCAUGCACUCUGCCUCCUCCGUAUGAUCCUCUGGCUCUCCACGAUUUUCUUGAGAGAAAGGCUAACUCAACUAGGCAAGUGGAAGCUUGGGAAAAUGAGUAUUGGCAAAGUAUUGAAAAAAAGCAAUAGGAGCUUCUUUUUUUUCCAUGGGUUCCAUAGGCCAUGACUUAUAAUUUUAUAUGUCCUAGACUGGAAAGAAGAGAUCUGAACACAAGAAUUCAAAGCUUGCUACAAACUCAAUGUCUUUCUACUGGUAAAUAUCAACUCUGAUGGUUUGUUUCAAUGUAUUUCAUAAGUUUUACAUCAAGAAUUUUUCAAAGCUGUACAAGAAUAUUUAGAGUGCCCGCCCUUUUAUGAUUUCCAAGCUCAUCUCACUAGGGUAUGUUGCCUGCAACUCCACUUGAAUCCCAUCCAACUCCCUCUUGAAUCUGUCCUUGGAGCUUGCAUAUAUUUGUAAUAAAUUACAUUUUCUUACUUUUUUUUUGUUGUUGAGAAAUUCACUAUUAUACUCAAUAUAAGGACUUAAAUUAUAAAAAAAUCAUACAUAAAAUGGACUUUAGAAACACACCCAAAACCCAUUUACAACAUAACUAAGAGGCUUCGAACUUCCUAUAAAUUACAAAAUUGCCAUUAAUUUCAUAAAACAAGCCUAACCCCAAAACAGUCAGGCAUCAAAGUAAUUUAAUAAUCAAAAUUAAAUUCAAUAUGGCCAGCUGUCAUUUUUUGGGAUUUGUUUAUAGAAAUUAAAUAGUAUAGAGUUUAUUUAUGUCACUAGUGCUAAAAAUGGGUAUAACUAAAUAUUUUUUUUCUUCAUUUUUUAAUGAAUAAUGCUACUCUUACCAUAUUUGUAUACUACAUUUUCAUACCACCUUAUGUGGCAGAUAAAGUGGAUAACCACAUCAAUUAAAAAAUAUCAAUAAAUCAUAAAAGAAAAUAAAAUGUUAAAUUAAUUUUAAUUUAAUAGAUAUCAACUAUAAUAAUGUGGGGGACUUUCAUUUCAUGUUGCCUUUGUUCCCAAGGUAGGAGAGACUUUACACCUCAUAAUUCACUUUCUAUUAAUUUAAAAUUUAAUCAGCCCUUACCAGUACCAAUCAAUCUAUUUAAUCUAGAAUCAAGAUCUUACUGUUAUAAAAGUCUUGAAAUGGAGCCCACACAUACUGUUCAUUACUGUACAUUACUGUUCAUCACUGUUCAUUUGACGGCUUUGAUACUGUUCAUUACUGUUCAUCUGGCGGCUUUGAUAGAGUUUGUCUGUCACGGGUGAACAGUGAUGAAUAGUGAUGAAUAGUGAUUAUUUCAGCCUAUAAAUAAGAAGAGAAACGGAAAGAAGAAGAAGAAGAAAAAAGGAGAAAGGAAGAGAAGGAAGAAAGAGGAAAGAGAGAGCAGAGAGAAAUUCUCCUAGAGAGAAAAUUCAGUGAGCCACAUAUAUUGUAAACACUAAACUUGUAGCUCUAUCCUUUUACAUAGUGGAAAAGUUACUGCUGCUGCUCUCCGAGGACGUAGGCAUAGCCGAACCUCGUUAAAUGCUGUGUCUCAUCUACUUUACGUGCAGCUCAGAAUUAUCGCACAUAUCCCAGGUUAUUUUUAUAACACGUUAUCAGCACGAUAGUCUCUCCUUUUAUUUCUGAAAUUUUUCAACUAACACUUUACUUUAUGUAAUUAUUAACCAUUAACAAAAAUGGACCCUUGGUAAUACUAAACAUAUUAUCAGUGGGAGACCGUUACUAAUACUAACACUUUACUUUAUGUAAUUACUAACCAUUAACAAAAAUGGACCCUUGGUAAUACUAAACAUAUUAUCAGUGGGAGACCGUUACUAAUACUAACACUUUACUUUAUGAAUUUAUUUUACCGCACAUUUACAUUUAUUUUAAAGGGUGGUGCGGGUUUAUCGUCCACGCCUUUGCUUUUAUUUAAAUGUAUGGAGUAGAAUUAGUGCCCAUACAAGCACACUUACUUUACCGCACAUUUAAGGUAUGGUGCGGAAUUAACGUCCAUACAGCAAGCAAUUUAAUUCAUGAUUUUAUUUUUAUCAUCAAUUAAUAUACCUGAAUAAUGAAAUUCCUAUUAAUAAGUGGCUUAAUAUCUCAGAUCUCGAACCUAAAAUUUUGGACAGCAAAUUCAUGACACUUUAUCAUCAAUUAAUAUACCUGAAUAAUGAAAUUCCUAUUAAUAAGUGGCUUAAUGUUCCAGAUCUCGAGCCUAAAGUUUCAGAUGGCAAAUUUGGCAAAACUGGAGUUUGCUGCCUUGGACCUUUCCGGGGACAACUUUUUAUCAUGGGUCCUGGAUGCCAAAAUUCAUCUACGAGCCAAUGGCCUCGGACAAACAAUUGUAGAUGAGAAUGAUGCUUCGCCUGAAGAGAAUGCGAAGGCCAUGAUCUUUCUUCGCCGCCACAUCCAUGAAGCGCUGAAAAGCGAAUAUGUGGUGGUUGAUGAACCGUUGGUUCUGUGGAAAGCUCUAGGUGAAAGAUACGAUCACCAGAAGACGAUGACUCUCCCAAGAGCUAGAUACGAAUGGACCCACUUGAGAUUUCAAGAUUACAAGUCAGUGUCCGAGUAUAACUCUGCUAUGCAUAGAAUUACCUCAUUAAUGAGGCUAUGUGGGGAAAAUAUAUCUGAGGAGGAUAUGCUCGAAAAAACUCUGAGCACUUUUCAUGCUUCAAAUGUCCUCCUUCAACAGCAAUACAGACAUAGCGGUUUCAAGAGAUACUCGGAACUUGUAUCUUGCCUCUUGUUAGCUGAGCAGAAUAAUGAGCUCUUAUUAAAGAAUCACCAAUCUCGCCCAACGGGCUCAGCACCACUUCCUGAAAUAAAUGCUGCAUCUCAGGAAGUGAAUGCCACUUCAUCUCGUGGUAAUAUCCAUAAACGUGGGCGAUGGGGCAAGCGUGGCCACUGGCAAGGAAGUAGAAAAAAUCAUGGCGCUCGUUUAGAGGGUUUAGGACCAAGGAGUGGUCCAUCCACGAAUGGCAAAUAUGCAUCCCGUAAUAAGGGAAAGGCACAGAUGAGUCAUGUGCCUAGAAAUGUUGAAAGCCCUUGCCACAGAUGUGGAGCAAAGGGACAUUGGGUGCGCACUUGUCGUACGCCCAGGCAUUUGGCGGAUCUCUAUCAAGCUUCACUUAAGAACAGGAAAGUGGAGAUAAAUUACAUUGAUCAUGCUCCGCCAGCCACAGAUGGCUCAUCAGAAAUAUCACGUCAGCAAAACAAGACGCAUCUAGAUGUUUCUGAUUUUGUUACUAAAAGAGGGAAUGAAGGUUAUGAGUCCGAAUUAGAUUAAAUCCCUUAAUGUACUAUUUGUAUUAGCUGUACUAUUUGUAUUAGCUGAAGGGUUGUUUAAAUUUCAAUCCAAUAAAAGUUGUAAUGUUGUCUUCUUUUUGAUCCCAGCUUAUUUUACUUAUUUGGUGGCAUGGAUGUAAAUUAUGGAUGCCCUCAAAACAAAGGCUAUAGCAGAGAUAUUUGUCUCGCAGACAGCGCAACUACUCAUACGAUCCUUCAAGAUCGGAAGUAUUUCUCAAAAUUAAUGCUUACAAAAGCAAAGGUAACAACCAUAUCAGGUCCUGCAAAUCUGAUUGAAGGUUUAGGAAGAGCCCAAAUUAUGUUACCAAAUGGAACAAUACUGUCCAUUCCAGAUGCUUUGUAUUCAUCUAACUCCAGAAGGAAUCUGUUGAGUUUCAAAGAUAUACGUUUGAAUGGCUACCAUGUUGAAACAAAGAUAGAGGAAAACAUGGAAUAUCUUUGUAUUACCUCCAGUGAUACCCAAAAGCGUAUACUGGAGAAGCUUUGUGAGCUCUCAUCAGGGUUGUAUUACACAACCAUACGGACAAUUGAGGCACAUAGUGUCAUGGACCAAGAGUCCACUGGCUCAAAUGCUUUUAAGCUUUGGCAUGACAGGUUGGGUCAUCCUGGAUCCACCAUGAUGCGCAGGAUCAUCACCAACUCUAAAGGACAUCCCUUAUUAACUAAACACAUUAUGUUAUCAAGUGACAUCUUUUGCCAAGCUUGUUCACAAGGGAAGUUGGUGAUCAGACCAUCACAACCAAAGGUUGAUGUUGAGUCUCCAUCAUUUUUGCAAAGAAUUCAAGGGGACAUUUGUGGACCUAUUCACCCCCCAUGUGGACCAUUUCGGUACUUUAUGGUCUUGGUGGACGCAUCUACCCGAUGGUCACAUGUUUGUCUUUUAUCUACUCGGAACAUGGCAUUUGCUAGGCUUUUGGCUCAGAUAAUUAAAUUACGAGCUCAAUUCCCAGAUUAUCCCAUUAAGUCAAUCAGACUCGAUAAUGCUGGUGAAUUUACAUCUCAGACUUUUGAUGACUACUGCAUGUCACUAGGCAUAGAUAUUGAACAUCCUGUUCCCCAUGUGCAUACUCAAAAUGGCUUGGCAGAAGCUUUAAUUAAACGCCUUCAAUUGAUAGCACGCACUUUGCUAAUGAAAACAAAGUUGCCAGUUUCUGCUUGGGGAUAUGCCAUUUUACAUGCAGCAUCACUUGUGCGAUUAAGGCCCGUUGCCAACAAUCAAUGUUCUCCCAUACAACUCGUAUUAGGAAAUCAACCAAACAUUUCACAUUUAAGAAUUUUUGGGUGUACAGUAUAUGUGCCCAUUGCACCACCACAACGUACUAAGAUGGGCCCUCAACGCAGAUUGGGAAUUUAUGUUGGUUUUGAUUCACCAUCUAUCAUCAAAUACUUAGAACCCCUGACGGGUGAUAUUUUUACCGCACGAUUUGCGGAUUGUGAUUUUGAUGAGACAAUCUUCCCACCAUUAGGGGGAGAAAAAUCUGUGUCUAAAGAACAAGGCAAACUCAUUCCUGAAAAACGAUGUGAAUUAUCAUGGAAUGUAUCCACAUUGUCUCAUCUCGAUCCUCAUACUGCUCAAUGCGAAAACGAAGUAAGAAGGAUUGUUCACCUCCAAAGUAUUGCAAAUCAGAUGCCAGAUGCAUUUAAUGAUGCAGCAAAGGUGACAAAAUCUCAUAUCCCAGCUGCAAAUGCACCCGCACGGAUUGAUGUCCAUAAUGGACAAAGCAAUGUGCCAGCAAAUGGUUCAUCUGCUGCACGCCUAAAACGUGGCAGACCACUAGGCUCAAAGGAUUCAGUUCCUCGAAAGAGGAAGUUGAUGGACAAAAUGAAUCCAAAUGAAAUAAAUAGAGAGCCCACAAUUCAUAAUUCAAAUGCCCCUAAAGAGGGACAUGUACUUCUUGACAAGGAAAACGUCAUUGGUGAGACAAGUGCCCCUAAAGUGGCAACCGUACCUGAAAGUCAAGAAAUCUCCAUAAAUUAUACGUCCACUGAUGAAUUGUGGAGUAGAAAUGAGAUGAUCAUCGAUGAUAUAUUUGCAUUCUCAGUGGCUGCUGAAAUCAUAAAAGAUGAUGAUAUUGAACCACGCUCUAUUAAUGAAUGUACACAGAGGCAAGAUUGGCCCAAGUGGAAGGAUGCAAUCCAGGCAGAAUUAAAUUCUUUGGAAAAAAGGAGUGUUUUUGGACAUAUUAGUCCAACUCCACCCAAUGUGAACCCUGUAGGUUACAAGUGGGUAUUUACAAGAAAGCGCAAUGAGAAAAAUGAGAUCUCAAGGUAUAAAGCGCGACUCGUUGCGCAAGGUUUUUCACAAAGGCCUGGAAUUGAUUAUGUGGAAACGUACUCUCCAGUAAUGGACACAAUUACAUUCCGUUACCUAAUAAGUUUGGCGGUUUCAGAAAAACUUGAAAUGAGACUCAUGGAUGUUAUUACCGCAUAUUUGUAUGGAGAAUUGGAUACAGAUAUAUACAUGAAAGUUCCAGAAGGAUUCAGGUUGCCUGAAGCAGCCAGAAACACACCACGGGGCAUGUUCUCAGUUAAAUUGAGAAGAUCAUUAUAUGGGCUAAAAUAAUCUGGACGAAUGUGGUACAAUCGUCUCAGUAAGUAUUUACUGAAGGAAGGAUACACAAAUGAUCCUGUUUGCCCAUGUGUGUUUAUUAAGAAAUCAAAGUCUGGAUUUGCGAUAGUGGCAGUAUAUGUCGACGACAUGAAUCUAAUUGGAACUUCUGCAGAGCUUCAAAAGACUGUUGAUUAUCUCAAACGUGAGUUUGAGAUGAAGGAUCUUGGAAAGACAAAAUAUUGUCUUGGCUUGCAGAUUGAGCACAGUGCUAAUGGAAUUUUGGUGCAUCAAUCAACUUAUACUGAGAAAGUAUUGAAACGGUUUGGCAUGGAUAAAGCCCAUCCACUUAGCACUCCAAUGGUCGUUCGAUCGCUUGACACUAAGAAAGACCCAUAUCGUCCAAAAGGGAAUGAUGAAAUGGUCCUUGGUCCAGAAGUACCAUAUCUUAGUGCAAUAGGUGCUUUAUUGUACCUCGCACAAUGUACCAGACCAGACAUAUCAUUCUCAGUAAAUCUGUUAGCAAGGUACAGUUCUGCUCCAACAAGGCGACACUGGACCGGCAUCAAACAUGUUCUACGAUACCUUCGUGGGACAACAGACAUGGGGUUAUUCUAUUCCAGUGAAUCGACCAACGCCCAGAGUAUUAUUGGUUAUGCUGAUGCAGGAUAUCUCUCUGAUCCACAUCAAGGACGAUCACAGACUGGGUAUGUAUUUACAUGUGGAGGAACUGCGAUCGCAUGGCGUUCAACAAAACAAACAUUAGUGGCCACAUCUUCCAAUCACUCGGAAAUACUUGCCCUCCAUGAAGCCAGUCGUGAAUGCGUUUGGUUAAGAUCGGUAAUCCAUCACAUCCGAAGCACAUGUGCCCUACCCUCAACAACAGACACUCCAACAAUUCUGAAUGAGGACAAUGCCGCUUGUAUUGCUCAGAUUACAGGAGGAUAUAUCAAGGGUGACAGGACCAAACACAUAUCACCAAAGUUUUUCUAUACACAUGAGCUCCAGAAGAGUCAAGAAAUCAAAGUCAGACAAAUCCGCUCAAGUGAUAACCUGGCAGAUCUCUUCACUAAAUCAUUGCCGAAAUAUACAUUCCAAAAGUUAGUACAUGGCAUCGGAUUACGACAACUCUGCAAGCAAUCAAGUUGGAGCAUGCAAAAUCAGGGGGAGCAUUCAAGAGUCCUCUAACAUAGGACAUAUGCACGUUGUACUCUUUUUCCUUUGCUUAGAUUUUCCCACUGGGUUUUUCCAAGCAAGGUUUUAAUGAGGCAACCAAUCUAGGGUCAUGUGGUCUCCAAGGGGGAGUGUUAUAAAAGUCUUGAAAUGGAGCCCACACAUACUGUUCAUUACUGUACAUUACUGUUCAUCACUGUUCAUUUGACGGCUUUGAUACUGUUCAUUCUGUCACGGGUGAACAGUGAUGAAUAGUGAUGAAUAGUGAUUAUUUCAGCCUAUAAAUAAGAAGAGAAACGGAAAGAAGAAGAAGAAGAGAAACGGAAAGAAGAAGAAGAAGAAAAAAGGAGAAAGGAAGAGAAGGAAGAAAGAGGAAAGAGAGAGCAGAGAGAAAUUCUCCUAGAGAGAAAAUUCAGUGAGCCACAUAUAUUGUAAACACUAAACUUGUAGCUCUAUCCUUUUACAUAGUGGAAAAGUUACUGCUGCUGCUCUCCGAGGACGUAGGCAUAGCCGAACCUCGUUAAAUGCUGUGUCUCAUCUACUUUACGUGCAGCUCAGAAUUAUCGCACAUAUCCCAGGUUAUUUUUAUAACACUUACAUGAUAAUGAAACACCAUUAGGGGUUAAAAGCACAAGGAAAUAGUAUUCUCCACUUUCCAACCAUUAUUGAUUUUUGGUAGAUGAGCGCUUAUUACUACUUGCCUACUUCAUGAGACAAUUUUGAGUUGCAAGAGGAUUGCCAACCCUACAAACAAGAACAAAACCGCUAUGAAUCUGGACUAAGAGAUCCUACAUAAGGGUGCAGCUUUUGUACCAUUUUUACUGGUUGCUUAGUUGACCACCUUUCUAAUACAUGUGGGUCCCAUAUAAGUUAGUAAAAGUGACACAAAUAGCAUUAUUCAUACUAAAGAGGGGAUCGAGAAGUGCUCAAGUAGGAGGAUAAAUGAUAUUUCACUUAACAAGAAUUGGAAGUGCUUUUAGCUAACGAAAAAACCCUUAAUGAGUAAAAGCGCUUCUCACAUAAGCACUUACAAGUGAGCCUAUAUUCAAUACCAACUCUCUUAAUCUAGUGAUAAUUUCUGAAUAUUAAAAUAGGUCUUGAGUUCAAAUCUCCCUUCAAUCAUUUUGUAGUUGGUAUCUUUAUGCUUGGGUCAGUCUUGUUAUGGAAAAUGGUGAAAUUGGGCUCCUUUCUUUUCUUCUUGGGUACACAAGUUUGGCCCAAUUCCCUUCCAAAUCCAACCACGUAGUGGUCCGAAUGACCCGAAAUCGGAGGCGGGAGCCUCUCUUCUCUCACUCACCCCUACCACCACUUUCUGCAGCAUGGCGUCGCCGUCCUGCUUCGAAACGCCGUCGUCUGCCCCUUCUUCUUCUUCAAAACUAGAGUGGGGCGAGAAGGUCUCGGACAAGGUGUUCUCACUCUACAACUCUCUUCCCAAGAAAGGCAAGCCUCAGGGUCGCGAAGUCACCGUCUUGGCCGCUUUCCUCGUUUCCUCUCCUUCUCAAGGUCCUACUUUCCUUCUUUCUUUCUUUUCUAAAUUUGAUUUUCCUGCACUUUCCUGGAAAGCAAACAGUGUUCUUAACACUUUCAAUUGUUCAGAAUUGGAAGUUGUCGCGUUGGGAACUGGGACCAAAUGUCUUGGGAGUUCACUCUUGAGCUCCAACGGUGAUGUCGUCAAUGAUUCCCACGCCGAGAUUAUAGCUCGAAGAUCUUUACUGAGGUUUUUAUUUGUUGUUAUAUAUUCAUUUCAUUAGCAAAUUUAAUUUGUUUAGCUGCUAAUACAAGAUUUUAAUAAAUAAAAAGUUGCUAAUUUACGAGUGCUAUGCUUCAUGUGGCAUGAAAUGCAUCCAAAUUAAGUGUGCUUAGCUGAAAAGUACCAAUUUUUUUGGUGGGGAUUUGCAUUUAUUACCUAUAUGUAUCUCUGCCUUACAUUUUUAGUGUAUGGUACUUAUUGGUAUACUUGGCUUCUCUGGCACUAGGUUCUUCUAUGCACAGAUUCAGUGUCUUACUCAAGUUUAUAGUAAGCAAAGUGAUAGCAAUGGAAGCACACAAAUGCAAAAUGGUGAUGCCAAAAACUUGCUUUUUGAAUUGGACCCUAAUGGUGAUGGCCAAGGAAAAUACAAACUGAGGAAGGGUUUGCAAUUACACUUGUACAUAUCACAACUACCAUGUCAGUUCUUGUUCAUAUCCAAGAAAAGAGAGUCCUUUUUUCUUCGGUUUUUGCCCUCCUUAGAUCUUUAUAUCUAUAUCAGGACAAACCAAGACUGCAAUUAUACUUAUUCUUCUUUCUUGCAGGUGGGGUUGCAUCUCCGAGUUCACUGUUGUCUCCCCCAAAAAACAUCUCACCAACAGAACGGGGUUCAUCUUUGGACGAGCUUAAUGUUUCAAUAAAUGAAGAGGCUCUGCCAAAUACUAAUGGUAAUGGGAUUUUGUACUUGUCCUCUUCUUUGUUCUAUAUUUGCUAAAAAUUUAUGUUUCCAUUUUUCACCUUAAUGUGAUGGGUUGAAUAUUUUUCUAGUGAACGUUGGCAGCUUCUUUUUGAGAAAAGAAUCAUUACUCUUGACAUGAUAUUUGAGUCAUGUAGCAUCUGUAUGUUACCUUAUUUUCAGGUGAUGCUUCACAACUAAUUGGCUCGGUUCAAAGAAAGCCUGGUCGUGGUGAUACGACUUUAUCAGUUAGUUGCUCUGACAAGAUGGCUCGUUGGAAUGUGGUUGGAGUUCAAGGUUUGUCAUUUGACCUAUCAUGUACCCAAGAUAGGGCUUCAUUCAGCCAAUCUUGGAUAUGGAAACUCUGGUCUAAAUACAUACCUGGCUUCUUUUGGUCAGGCAUCCUUGAAUGUUUGAUGGUGUACCUAGACUGAGCCAGUUUGACUAAUCUUCGUGAUUAUAUUGACCGUACUUGGUUACGUGGGCAUUACUAGUUAUAAGUUAGUUGAUGAGGUCAUACAUAUUCUUAUUUCAGGAUCUCUGCUUUCAUUCUUUCUGCAACCUGUUUACCUUUCUUCCAUUACUGUUGGACAGUCGCCUCGCGGCUCUGAAAUGGUUCUUGUUGUUGAUUGCUUGAAACAAGCGCUGCAUGAUCGCAUUCUACCAUUGUCAAAUGAGCUAAUGAGUCCCUUUCAAGUGAACCAGGUCUGUGAAGUGUGUACUCUGUGAUAUUGCAUUGGAGAUGGUUAUUAUAAAUGCAUAUAUUAAUGCUACUGGCAGCCACUAAUAUUGGCAGCUCCAAUGCCACCAAGGGAAUUUCAGCAUUCCGAGACUGCUUUGACCACUUUAACAUGCGGGUACUUGUUAUUUAAUUCUGACAGUUCUACAUAUAAAGUGACUGUGUAUUGUUUGGUUACUACUGAUUCCUUAAUGCUUUGAUUCACAGGUAUUCAAUUUGUUGGAAUAAGGCUGGUUUGCACGAAGUCAUUCUUGGAACCACUGGAAGAAAGCAAGGCACUGCUGCCAAAGGAGCACAUUAUCCGUCUACUGAGUCAUCUUUAUGCAAGUAGGGUGAUAAGUAUGCUCCAACUUUUAUUUAGAAAUGCAUUUUAUUACAAUUUUGUCAUAUUGUUUUUAUUGUUUGACAGAAAGCGGCUGUUGCAGAUUUUCUUGUCCCUAAGACAUGAAUGCCCUGUCAAAAUCCCAGUUAAUCAGAUUUCGUAUCGAGAAAUCAAGGUAGUCAAUAUUAUAGAUACUGAUUUUGUAGACAACUUUUGGUCAAAUUCUAUUUAUCUAGCUAAUAAGGUAAUUUUGGGAUUUGGUUUACAAUGUGUUGACUAGAGUUCAUGACAGUAAAUUAUGCACCCGCUAAGUUGUGCAAGUGGUUUAUAUUUUGGAAGUAUAAGAGGUCUUUGUGCUUUGAUUGACAAAAAAUGCUUCAAAACUAUGUGUAGGUAUUGUGGUUUAUGUGUAAAUGAAAGCUUUUUCGUUGCAUUUUUUUAGUACAAGCAGUGUCUUGUGUAGUAUCAAAUAUCUGUAGAUUUAGCUUCUGCUCAAUAUCUGCUGGUACAAAAUUUAUGGAUUAGUUAUGUAACUACUGGUUCUUAAUUCACUAUCAGCAAGGUGUCAACUGGAUAUGACUUUUCAUCUAUUAGCUAAUUUCACCUGGUUACCUUAUGCAGGAAAUGGCGCAGGAAUUCAAUUUAACCUCAAAAAUUCUAAAAAGAAGACCUCCCUUUAGUAAUUGGCCUUUGAAACUCCCACAUUUUGAGGCAUUCUCUGCCAUGAUAUAGUGAGGCCAGUGGAUACUCAGAGUGAAUACUCUUGUCUGUGCAUAUUAUGAUCUUCAUUGUGAAAUUAAUAUGGUAAUCGAGUAAUACUUUGCACUAAUUAUUUAGAGCUUUUCAGUAUAUCAAUGUGGUUCGACAAGGACAGUUCCUCCAGCUUCAAGGAUAUAAUAUAAAUGGAAGGGUCUGUGUUGGUCUAACAAGGGAACGUGCAUUGCUUCACCUGUCGGCUGUCAAUGCUUUAAAACGCACCUUUCAGCAUAUCAUCUCUUCAUGAAACAAGCUGGUAGGAGAUUCACAGUUAAUGUUUCGGUUCAGUUUGCUAACUAGCAGCAGCUGCACGGGUUCUUUGUCUCCAAUUAUGAGUUCCUAAGGGGGCAAGCAAAGGAAGCAAGGAAUUUUGCACACUGCAUUAACGUAAUCUGUGGCAAGCAGGCCACAUGGUUUACUCACAUUGAAUUCAAUGGAUUAUUUUGCAGGUUACGUACGACUUACUCUGAGCUUCAUAAGUCAUUUAACUUUGAUAAUUCGUUGACUUACUAUUAAGCAACUAAUCCGUCCCACACGGCAAUUGUUGUGGCCAUGAGCCUAAUUUCGUCCUCAACCUAUCUAGACUGUACACUGACUGUACAGAAGUUUCACCCAUUAGCAAUAACUUACAAAAGUGAUGUGGGGUCCACUACUAGUUGUGCGUCCCACAUGCCGGCGAGUCUGUUUAUGGGAGCAUCUCACAUGUGCUUCUUCAUAUAUAAUCACUCCAAAACGAGCUCUUAGUCAGAUUGUACGAACCAUGAAAGCUUAACUGUAAAAAAGUCGCAUUAAAAAGGGUAAAACUCAAUCACGUUUUCCCUUCAUCUUCUUCAUUUCACGUUAGAGAGCAAGCAUAUUGCAUAAACACAGUGAUCGAUUAUUUGAAUGGAAGCAAGCAACUGUUACACUACUGUCCUACCAAAAUAAAUAAAUAAUUGAGGAAGCAAAGAAUGCAUGCAACUCAUUAGCUCAUCACAUCGUUUUCCCUUCCCCUUUAAGCAAGCACGUUACAACUCAAUCUCAUUUCUCUGAAAAAUAAAUAAAUAAAAGCCAGAGAGUCACUAAGUCAAAGUAAACGAUGUGAUUAAUUAGUUUUCUACUUAAACUUCAAAUUGUAGUCAUUGCACCAUGUUUGAGUAAAUCGAGUAAUUUGUCAUGGUAACCAUAUUUUGACCUUUUAAAAAAAUAUUAUAUUUUAAAUACAUUCAAGUAUAUGAACACGAUUGAGUUUGUCAAAAGAAUUAAAUUUUCCAUUGACUUGGCAAUUUUGUAUUUAAAUGAUCAAUGACUUUCUUUCUCCCCAAGCUCAAAACUAGUGCAAAUUGUCCAAGCAGGUCAACUAAAGCAACCUUACUUAGUGCCUAAUCCUUCGACUUGGUUUAAAAAGACUAUCGGAAAUCUAGAGGAGAAAAAUUGAUCGCUUUCGUCAAUAUUACUCAAUAUUGAGUAAUGCAAGAAAAAUCAUAUUUGUUGUAAGUUUAAUACAGGUAGGACCUAUUUUUAUAUAAGAAUAUGGUCAUACCAUAUUUAUUGGUAGAUAACUUUUGGGCACAUUACUCUUUCUAACAUAAAUAAAAAGACAAACAGCCCUCUACCGUGAUAAAUUUACCUUCAUUCAGUUGUUGUACUUGUCUACAAUAUACAAAGGUACCCCAUUUGGGCCAUUUCCAAUAUUUGAUGCAACACGCAAACCUUGUCGACGAGUGAUUAUAGAAUAUUACAGUAGUACGGUCAUGUGUUACAUCUUAUACACAUAUUAUAAUAUCACGUGAACAAGAUAUAACACGUGGUUAUAUUAUCGUAGUAUUCUUUUAUUUCUCCUUGUCGACAUAACCCUGUCCUCUGUUGUUGGCAUCCUAGAUAAAGAUGGACUUCCAUUUGAGCAAUGCUGGAAUGUUUUGGACGCUCUAUGGGUUUUCUGAAGCAACUUUUUUUUUUGGUUUCACAUUCCACUUUGUAGUCCUCUUCUGUUUGAUGUUAUUACUUUUAUCAGUUUCCGCUUGUAUAGUCCCCAGUUCACUGGACUCUUGCUCUGUUGUACUUUGGCAAUGCCUUGAGUGCUCUGAUUGAAUGUUAUACCAGUUUCGUCCAAAACACGCAACACUUGGCCAAUUUGGCUCCUUGUUAGGUCAAGACCUAGACUUGGACACUUUUUCUCUUCUUUUAUAGAGCAAAUGGAGGCAUAAAAACGUGAACUAAAGCCUUUCAAAGUAAGAAACCACACAUUCCACGAAUGCCUAACUUCAAAGACCCGUUUGGUUGAAGUCCACAUAGACUGUAUACAGCAUAGAAAGCAUUACCGGACAGGACAGCAGGGCUAUCUCAUCUCAAGGUCUCUUGGAAGAGAGCUUUGAAGCAUAAACAUGAAAAGGAACAAUGCCAAGCAUAUGUGUGAUUUCUUGGAUGGGACAGGAUUGCAUAGGCAUAUUGCAGGAACAAGUUGGAGGCCAUUGAAGAAAAGAACUGCAACAACUACUUUAAUCUUCUUGUUAUUGUUGUUGAUCUUCUUUGUUGCUGCGUUGGUAUCUGCAGGCUGGAUCGAUGCUGUAAGUUCCAUGAACUCCAAUCGUGCUAGCUAUAUAUAAAGAUAUAACAUAGGCAUUCUAUCUUCUUUCAUAGUGUUUUUGUGUGUGUUUUGUUUUGUUUUGUUUUUUUUCAGAGUAAAACUAAUAGGACCAAGAUUUCAAAAACUAGAAAUAUUUGAAUGGGGUUUUCCAGUCACCUUAUUCACGAUCUCUCUAACUAAGGUGAAACUUAUGUCUCUUAGUUCCAACCCUAUCAGAUCGGUGGUCAGAUUGUUUUCUUUUAGCUUGAAGGAGAGUGUGCUUGCAUUAGAUGUGAGGGAGAGCGAGAGUCAAAUUUUCGUGACAAGUAUGGGGUAUGUGAGCAACUAAUUAAGUGAGAAUGGCCUAAGAAAGUGUAUACUAAACUGAUAUUACUAAGAAACGAAAUAUUAGUUAUCAAAAAAGGAAUACAAAGAAAAUUUAUUGAAAUACAAAUCAUAUAUAGCUUUUCAUUGCAUGGAAAAGUUAUUUGUAUCAAAAUCUCUCCUUUGAUACUAACGUAUACAAUUCAUGUUUUUCUCUCUUAGUUUAUAUUUUCAGGCGCUACAACAACCACAAACACAAGCACACCCAAGAGACCUGAAUUCCCACUGCAGUGUACCGAAGGAAUUAAUGUGACACAAGGUUGUCCAAGAACCUACCCUACCAGACACGACCCCACAAAUCCUAGCCGUCCAUCCAAUCUCACAUGCCCAUCAUACUUCCGAUGGAUCCACGAAGAUCUACGUCCAUGGAAAGAGACAGGAAUCACGAGGGACAUGAUAGAGCGGGCUCGCAGGACUGCACAUUUUAGGCUCUUGAUCGUGGAUGGCAAGGCUUACAUAGAGAAGUAUAGAGAAUCCAUACAAACUAGGGAUAUGUUUACGUUAUGGGGCAUUUUGCAGCUUCUAAGGGUGUAUCCCGGCAGAUUGCCUGACUUGGAGCUCAUGUUUGACUGUGAUGAUCGGCCCGUUGUCCGAUCAAAGGACUUUCGGAGCCCGAAUGCUGGCCCGCCACCAUUGUUUCGAUACUGCUCGGACGAGGGGAGCUUGGAUAUUGUGUUCCCAGAUUGGUCUUUUUGGGGCUGGUAAAUAUUUUCUUCUGUCUUACUCAUACAUGUUAUGUUUGCAUGUGAAAUGCCCUUUGUUUUUAUUCCUUUGUUUACUUUAGGAACCAUGUGUUACAUAAGAAUUGUAUAAAUAACCAAUUUCUAACCCAUUUGAAAAGCAAAGAAUAAAAAAACUCUUUUCAUAAGAUGUGUGACCCAAAACCCUUUUCAUCUCCACUAACUUUGGCCCAAACAUUUGAAUUGGGUGAACAAAAAAAAGAAGAGAUUUUAGAGGAGAAAUUAAUUUUAGUAAUGAAAUUUGUAGAUGGGCUAAUUUUAAUUUUGGUAGGGCUGAGACCAAUAUAAAACCAUGGAGAAGCCUAUUGCCAAGCAUAAAAGAAGGCAAUAAAAGAACAAAGUGGAAGGACAGGGUGCCAUAUGCUUAUUGGAAAGGUAACCCAAAUGUGGCUCCAACCAGAAAGGACCUUCUCAAAUGCAAUGUCUCAGACAAAAAUGACUGGAACACACGCCUGUAUAUUCAGGUGCAUCAACUUCUCUAACUAUUAUUAUGUAUAAAAAUGCAAUUUUUUAUGUAUUCAUUUGUGCAAUGAUUUGAUCUUCUAUUUCCAGAAUUGGGAGCAAGAAUCUAAACAAGGGUACAAGGAUUCAAACCUAGAAAACCAGUGCAAGCACAGGUAGUUUUUGCAAUUUUUUUUGUUCUUGUUUUUGAAAUUACAUUUUACAAAUUCAAAAUUUCCUUUGUUUUCUUUGUUUAUGCAUAGAGAUUUGGUUUUUACAGGUACAAAAUUUAUAUAGAAGGAUGGGCAUGGUCUGUAAGUGAAAAAUACAUCAUGGCAUGUGAUGCUAUGACCUUGUAUGUAAGGCCUCGCUAUUACGAUUUCUUCAUGAGAGGCAUGGAGCCAUUGCAGCACUUUUGGCCUAUUAGGGACAACAGCAAAUGCACUUCUCUCAAGUUUGCUGUGGAAUGGGGCAAUAAUCACAAAGACAAGGUUAGAACUUUAGCUGGAUGCCAAUUUUUUAUUUUUAUUUUUUGUUAAACAGUGUGACAUGUUAUGUUGUUAGACUUUGAAUUUCAACUGCACAUUCAAAUGAUUAACAUUUAGUAUCUCGUGAAUAUGGCAGGCGAAGGCGAUUGGGGAGGCUGCGAGCAACUUCAUACAAGAAGAUCUAAAGAUGGACUAUGUGUAUGAUUACAUGUUUCAUGUGCUAAAUGAAUAUGCAAAGCUCUUGAAAUUCAAACCAACUAUACCUUCCAAUGCAGUGGAACUGUGCUCAGAAAAAAUGGCAUGCCAUGCAACUGGUACGUGGAAGAAGUUCAUGGUGGAGUCUAUGGUGGAGCAUCCUACUGAUGAACUCCCAUGCACUCUGCCUCCUCCAUAUGAUCCUCCGG
rnacentral:lncRNA from 1 species